AUUAUUAGUAAAAAUGUUGAUCAGUUAGACACAAUGGAUGAAUCAUUUACUGAUCUUGAUUCUACUCUCAAUACUUCUACGCUAUCAGUAGCUGCUCCUUUUCCUCCUACUCCAAUGAGAGGUCCUCCCACUAAAAGACAAGCAUUAGGAUAUGGACAUUCAUUUAGUUCAAUGGAUCUCACUAAAUUAGGAUCCACUGGUACACUCUGAUACUGCAUGUGCACAUUAAUUAUUAUUAUUAUUAUAUUUUUAAUUCUCUCUCUGUUUCUAAUGAGAUGUGACGUUAUUAUUGUAAUCUUGUCUUCUCUCUAUUGCUUUACAAUUAAUAAGUUAACAAUUUAACACUACAGUAA